rnacentral:tRNA from 1 species
GCGCUCUUAGCUCAGUAGGAUAGAGCAGUAGCCUUCUAAGCUAUUGGUCACAGGUUCGAAUCCUGUAGAGCGCA